CCUACGGGAGGCAGCAGUGAGGAAUAUUGGUCAAUGGCCGAGAGGCUGAACCAGCCAAGUCGCGUGAGGGAAGACGGCCCUACGGGUUGUAAACCUCUUUUGUCGGGGAGCAAAGCGAGUCACGUGUGACUCAUUGAGAGUACCCGAAGAAAAAGCAUCGGCUAACUCCGUGCCAGCAGCCGCGGUAAUACGGAGGAUGCGAGCGUUAUCCGGAUUUAUUGGGUUUAAAGGGUGCGCAGGCGGAGGUGCAAGUCAGGCGUGAAAGCUAGGGGCUCAACCCCUCAAGUGCGCUUGAAACUGUGGAGCUUGAGUGAAGUAGAGGCAGGCGGAAUUCCCGGUGUAGCGGUGAAAUGCGUAGAGAUCGGGAGGAACACCAGUGGCGAAGGCGGCCUGCUGGGCUUUAACUGACGCUCAGGCACGAAAGCAUGGGUAGCAAACAGGAUUAGAUACCCAGGUAGUC
rnacentral:rRNA from 1 species